rnacentral:rRNA from 1 species
UWGAGUUUGAUCAUGGCUCAGAUUGAACGCUGGCGGCAGGCCUAACACAUGCAAGUCGAGCGGAAACGAUGGAAGCUUGCUUCCAGGCGUCGAGCGGCGGACGGGUGAGUAAUGCAUGGGAAUCUGCCCGAUAGUGGGGGAUAACCUGGGGAAACCCAGGCUAAUACCGCAUACGUCCUACGGGAGAAAGCAGGGGAUCUUCGGACCUUGCGCUAUCGGAUGAGCCCAUGUCGGAUUAGCUUGUUGGUGAGGUAAUGGCUCACCAAGGCGACGAUCCGUAGCUGGUCUGAGAGGAUGAUCAGCCACAUCGGGACUGAGACACGGCCCGAACUCCUACGGGAGGCAGCAGUGGGGAAUAUUGGACAAUGGGCGAAAGCCUGAUCCAGCCAUGCCGCGUGUGUGAAGAAGGCCCUCGGGUUGUAAAGCACUUUCAGUGGGGAAGAAAGCCUUGGGAUUAAUAC